AAAGGUAUUUGAAAAAAUGGGAGGGGGAUACAUUUUGUCGAAUGUGGAUAUAAGCUAGUAAAAGAAAAGAGGGUCCAAUAACUUAUGGAUUAUAGCCCUAAUUCUAACAUUUGAAAUUAAUAAAAUAAAAUUAACAAAUAAUUAAAAUAAUAGAAACAAUAUAAUUAAAUUAAUAAAUAAUUUUAAAAUAAUGAAAACAAUGUUAACACACU
rnacentral:lncRNA from 1 species